UACGAAGGGGGCGAGCGUUGUUCGGAUUUACUGGGCGUAAAGGGCGCGCAGGCGGCUAUCCAAGUCAGGCGUGAAAGCCCCGGGCUUAACCUGGGAGGUGCGUCUGGGACUGGGUGGCUAGAGUUCGGGAGAGGAGAGUGGAAUUCCCAGUGUAGAGGUGAAAUUCGUAGAUAUUGGGAAGAACACCGGUGGCGAAGGCGGCGACCUGGUCCGAUACUGACGCUGAGGCGCGAAAGCGUGGGGAGCAAACAGG
rnacentral:rRNA from 1 species